rnacentral:rRNA from 1 species
GAUGAACGCUGGCGGCGUGCCUAAUACAUGCAAGUCGAGCGAAUGGAUUAAGAGCUUGCUCUUAUGAAGUUAGCGGCGGACGGGUGAGUAACACGUGGGUAAACUGCCCAUAAGACUGGGAUAACUCCGGGAAACCGGGGCUAAUACCGGAUAACAUUUUGAAUCGCAUGGUUCGAAAUUGAAAGGCGGCUUGGGCUGUCACUUAUGGAUGGACCCGCUUCGCAUUAGCUAGUUGGUGAGGUAACGGCUCACCAAGGCAACGAUGCGUAGCCGACCGGAGAGGGUGAUCGGCCAAACUGGGACUGAGACACGGCCCAGACUCCUACGGGAGGCAGCAGUAGGGAAUCUUCCGCAAUGGACGAAAGUCUGACGGAGCAACGCCGCGUGAGUGAUGAAGGCUUUCGGGUCGUAAAACUCUGUUGUUAGGGAAGAACAAGUGCUAGUUGAAUAAGCUGACACCUUGACGGUACCUAACCAGAAAGCCACGGCUAACUACGUGCCAGCCGCCGCGGUAA